GUCUCAAUGUGGGUAUAAAUGUGUAUAUAUGCAUUUUUGAGAGAAUAUUGUAUAUAACUAAAAUGUAUAUAUUUGUUUUCAAAUACUUCCAUGCAUAUUUUCUCACUAGAUAAGAAACCUGUUAGGCCUGUGUUACAAGUUGCAAAGAACCCUCAGGUUGAAAGCACUAAGGACCCAUGGUCGGGCUCUUAGGUUGCAUGGCUUAUCCUGUUACUAACAGUACGCAGUGACCUGAUUUGUCAGCAGGUAUUGACACAAAAGCUCCAUCUCUCAGUCACUGGGGAGGCAGAGAAGAGGAAAAAGGUCACCUCAUUGCUACUGACAUAGUAUGGCACUGGCAACACCGUCAGUUGGUGAUGGAAGAUAGAUUUUUCCACCCUUACAUUCUCCUUGUCUUUUACAGUUCACUACCUAAGCCUGCUUGGACCUCUACAUGUGUUUAAUCCUUCCAGCAGAGGACAAUCACUUGGAAGUCACACAUCUGGCUAGACGUGAAGAUGUUGUGUGGGGAGAGUUUCCUUACAGAAGUGGCAUUGCAUUUCUACAGACAUUUCGCACAUUCCUUUGUAAGACAAAAGAUAGAGGAUUUUUCUUUGAUUCCAGGAAGCAUUUCCUGUGAACACUAAGACUUAAGCAUCUAUGUAAAUGAAAUUUACACAAUAGUGACCACAUGAUGAAUGUUAGGGAAUGCCCAGGGUUUGUUAUAUUUGUGCUUUUGGUUCUUUUAUUGUUUAAUAGCAAAUGCUUAGACUGUGCUUUUGUCCUUCCUCCUAGUCCUCCAUUCCUACCAGCCUCAUUCUGAUCAUCUGGCAUUUACUAGCUUUCAAGAAUUAAAAAAGAUUACAAGAAAUAUAGAGAAUUGUGGUGACUAUUAAUUGUCCUAAUGACAUCCAGUAAAAAUUGUAAAACUUUACAAUAGACUGAUUUCCAUACUUUCACUUUUUUGAACUAUCACAUUAUUGAUAUUUUUUCCAUAAUUCUGUAAUAAAAAGGUUAUUCAUCAUAUGCA
rnacentral:lncRNA from 1 species